AAAAUCUGUCCAAAUAUUACAUCCAAAGCUAAAGAAAUCCAGGACUAUUUCUCUCAUCACCUGACUGCUAUGUUGAGUCUGUCUUAUAGUUUCUAUUUCAUAUACCCCAAAACCAAAAGAGGAACAUGGUGAUGACUUAGUCUACACCCUUAGGUUUAUGCCCUAUCACUAAUUUUCAAAAUGAAUUGAAAUUGGCAAGUCCCUCCUAGGUCCCUGUACCACUAACUUGACUUAGCACUUUUUUGCCUCUCAAAAUAAGUAUUUUCCAUCCUGUUCCAAUGGGUUUCUUUCUUUUCCUUACCAUCUUGUUUGAUAGGACCACACAAUUCUUACAAAAAAUGAAAUGAUAUUUAGUUGAAUGGUUUGUCUAAAUGUUGUUCAUAACUUCAGGGUUAUCUUUCUAAUUACUGAAAGCCCUUUAGUACCUUGGUUCUGAUACAAGAAAGCAAUCCAAGUCAUGUUCCUGAGCAUCAAAUGAGGACCUACAUCUUUUUUUUUUUUUUUGCCACAUUUAAGCAUCUACGUAUUUAUGGCACUAAAUCAUCAAAGUUCACCAGAGUCUAAAACCACAGACAGCUUUUCUAGUAGAACAUUUGGUGUUUCUAAGAAGCACACAGAUUUGUUCCACUGUGAAAAGAAUAGGGAGCUUCUUAUCAGUAAGUGUCUUCUUAUAGGAGGGCUCAGCUAAGGACCCCAGCACAUGACCUCACUUCCUUGGCGACAGGUCCAAACAGAACUUGGAGCCCUGUCAUCAGGCACCACAGUCUAGCAACAACUGCCUCCCCAGUCAGUUGGCUGAAAACAGUCAGCAGCAAACAUGCUGUGCUGCUUUCCCAGGCCUCCUGGUCGCAGCCUCAGGACCCCACACAGGGAAACCACUUGGCAAUGAAUGAGAGGAUGGUUCACUUGGCCCAGAAGCUUCAGGACCCUUGCCAGGAACCGUCCAACAGUCAUGGGCAGCACAGGGCAGGUCUCACCAGACCCAGCCCCUAGAUGCCCAGAGAUAAGAGAGAGCCCAGGACAAGUGUCCCUAGGUUCAGCCACCAGACACUUGGAGCCACUGAUACCUGGACAGAUUGGAAAUCCGUCAACCGAGAGCUUGGCAGAGGUCUGCACAGUAAGCACAGUGAGGCAGGGAUUCCUCACACUCCAGUGGAGACCUUGGGGAAGGACUUCCAGGAUAACAAGAGCAGGUGCACCUUUUCUGUCUUUGACUCCUCAGUGGAGCUGAAAUCCCAGGUGCAUCCCCAGGAUGAGCUUCUCCAGGACCACCUGGUGCCUCCUGAGUCCUCUGAUGAAGAGCCCCAGGGUGAAAGGGCUGUAGAAUGGAACUGCGGACAGGAUACGGGCCUUGAAACACAGAAAGGCUGUGAGCUGUUGAGUGACUCAUGAACAUUCAGACACUCAGCGUGCCAGCUCCAGCCCACGCUGAUGUCCCACCUGCAGAGUUCGUGCCAACUGCAACUGCAGCUCCCUCACCAGCUCUGACCCCACAGCAAGAGCCAGGACCUGAAACCCCUUCUCCACCAGCUGCAGAGCUGCAACUCCUGGUGGCUCCACAGCAAGUGCCAUCUCUUGAGCUCUACUUGGGGCCAACUCUUGACCCAUACCUGCAAUUCCUCUCCCUUACAGAUUUAGUUACUAUUGUAUUUAUUGUUACUCUUAUUUCCCAGAGACAGGCCAAUGAUAGAAUUAUUUAAAAUAAAAUUUAAGCUUUUAGUCUUGUUUAAAAUGAUCAACUUGCUGCAUUUUCAGUGCAUUCUCAUUCAUUCGCAGUGUUGUGCAACCUUCACCAUUGUCCAGUUCCAAGACAUUUUCAAUACGCAAAGGCAUUUCCUCCCUUCUCCCCUGCUGCUAGAUCCACUCAUCUUAUGUCCUUGUAAUUAAUCUAUUCUACAUUUUUCACAAAACUGCAAUCAUAUUGGUCUUUGGCUGCAGAAUCUUGGAAGCUACUGUUCAAUCUUGCUUAUUGGAGGACAGGAAAAUCCUAGAUAGAUUCCCAUGAUUUCUCAUCACAAACUAAAUUAUCCAGUGUUUUUUCAGACAAG
rnacentral:lncRNA from 1 species